GCAGCCAUCAUUUAAAGAAAGCGUAAUAGCUCACUGGUCGAGUCGGCCUGCGCGGAAGAUGUAACGGGGCUAAACCAUGCACCGAAGCUGCGGCAGCGACACUGUGUGUUGUUGGGUAGGGGAGCGUUCUGUAAGCCUGUGAAGGUGGCCUGUGAGGGUUGCUGGAGGUAUCAGAAGUGCGAAUGCUGACAUAAGUAACGAUAAAGCGGGUGAAAAGCCCGCUCGCCGGAAGACCAAGGGUUCCUGUCCAACGUUAAU
rnacentral:rRNA from 1 species